GGCCCGUUGGUGUAACUGGGAACAUUCUCGGCGAGACUUAGAUGCUCGUCUGCAUACGUGCCGCAGGAAGACGACGGUUCGAAUCCGUCACGGGUCG